rnacentral:rRNA from 1 species
GACGAACGCUGGCGGCGCGCCUAACACAUGCAAGUCGAACGGAGCUGAGAGAAGCUUGCUUUUCUUAGCUUAGUGGCGAACGGGUGAGUAACGCGUGAGUAACCUGCCCUGGAGUGGGGGACAACAGUUGGAAACGACUGCUAAUACCGCAUAAGCCCACGAUCCGGCAUCGGAUCGAGGGAAAAGGAUUUAUUCGCUUCAGGAUGGACUCGCGUCCAAUUAGCUAGUUGGUGAGGUAACGGCCCACCAAGGCGACGAUUGGUAGCCGGACUGAGAGGUUGAACGGCCACAUUGGGACUGAGACACGGCCCAGACUCCUACGGGAGGCAGCAGUGGGGGAUAUUGCACAAUGGGGGAAACCCUGAUGCAGCGACGCCGCGUGGAGGAAGAAGGGUUUCGGAUUGUAAACUCCUGUCGUUAGGGACGAUAAUGACGGUACCUAACAAGAAAGCACCGGCUAACUACGUG